UACGGGGGGGGCAAGCGUUGUUCGGAAUUACUGGGCGUAAAGCGUGCGUAGGUGGUGAGUUAAGUCUGUCGUGAAAGCCCCGGGCUCAACCUGGGAAUGGCGAUGGAUACUGGCUCGCUAGAGUGCGGUAGAGGAGAGUGGAAUUCCCGGUGUAGCAGUGAAAUGCGUAGAGAUCGGGAGGAACAUCAGUUGCGAAGGCGGCUCUCUGGACCAGCACUGACACUGAGACACGAAAGCGUGGGGAGCAAACAGG
rnacentral:rRNA from 1 species